rnacentral:lncRNA from 1 species
AAUUGUUUAAGGUGUUGGUUCUUUUCCCUAUGUGAUAUUUUGUGGUAGGUUUUAUUGCUUAUCAUACUCUCCAUGUUUUUUCCUAUGGCAGCUUGCCUCACACUGUUCAGAAACUGAGAAUGUUAAAGUUCAGGCCCUCAAGUUGUACACGACUGACAAGGGUCACAAAUCAGGAGCUAAGAAACAUUUCUCUAAAGUGACCACUGACUUUUUUUUAUUUUGUUCUUUUUCUUUUAGCUCAAGCCAGGGGAGAACAGCUGCAGGGACAGUGACAGCGAAAGUGCCAGUGCAGAAUCCAAGGGUUUCCAUCGGAGCAGCUCCCGUGAAAGGCUCAGUGAUAGUUCAGCUCCUUCCAGCUUGGGAACAGGCUACUUCAUGUUGAAACCAUACAGAAAUCUACAAGGCAGCUGCCAUUGAAUCUGCAGAUUUGCAAAUGGUAAAAAGGUAUAGGCCCUUAAACAUUUGUACAACGUUCAGUUUCAGUUGUAGUUGACAGUUUAUUGAUUAACAAUCUUAUUAAUGACAAUGUUAUUAAAAUGACUAAGCAUCAGAAACAUCAGUUAUUAUACAAGAUAUUAAUUUAUGCAUGUCUU